rnacentral:lncRNA from 1 species
GUCAAUCCAAAUACAACUCAAAGUCUGAAAAUACAACUGAUAAUCCAAAAGGAACACAAGUAUAUCUCAAAAUACAAAGUAAGACAAACUAGAUAGGAUGGGGUCGGAGGUCGACUCUAGAAACAUAGAGCGCCCACUCCCUCACCGCUCGGACUUAGCUGCCAUGUGGCGCACUCAUACGUAGAUCUGCACCGAAAGAAAACUGUCGGAAUGAGUACAGUUCACUUGUACUCAGUAUGUAUUAUAGGCCGACAGAGCAAACUAGAAAAUAAGGUAUAUAAAUACACACUAUGAACACGUCACCUGUAAGCAGAAAAUGUCCCAAAUGAUAGCUUCUACCAUCUCCACUACAAUUCUAAAUAUAGCACAUAAACAGGACAAAAGGUACGUAAAAGAAACAAAAAAGGCAUGCAUCAGAUAAAAAUAUAGAAACACAACAUUGAAGAUGCAUAAAUAAAUUAAUUCAAUAUGUGUGAUAACGAUGAUGAUAUGAUAUGAUCAAGGUUAUCACAUAACCUCCGUAUAAAACUACUGAGAGUUAGUGAUUUCUAGUAGGACCUAAGGGGGGUUCUCAACUUACAUAUAAUCUCAAUAUUCAAUCACCAGUCUCAAUAUCCAUAUCUCCUCUCCAAUACGUGGGCUAGGAUAGAUGAUUUUGUAAAAAUGUCUCUUUUCUGUCAAAAAUCAGUAUCUCCAUAAUGGUACCAAUAUAUCAUGAAUGUAUUUAUGAUAUGAGGAUGUAAAACUUACCACCAAAUCAGUAUGAAAAACUCAACCCAACCAAUAUAGACGCACACGAUCUCAAAAUCCACUCAAUAUGUCUAAAAUCCAUUAUUCAAUAUAAGCCACAUACCAGUAGACCAAAAUAUACAAAUAGGAUAUCAUUAAUAUCACAUUAAUUCCAAUUUAGGAAUUUUAUAUCAUGAAGAAACCAACCAUAGGUGUACACAAGGCCAACAAUAUCAGAUAAAGCCUCCACACAAGCCACACAUAGCAGAUAUCACUUCAGAUCGCCAAUAAUAACAACUUAAGCCCUCAUAUAGACAUACAACAGUAAUAAUAUUAUUUACAUAUUUAUUUAUCAUACUCAUAGCAUAAUUUUAUUUAAAUAUUAACUAUCCAAGACUAAAGAACUUUAAGCCAUAAUCUACGAGAAACGAUGAAAUCCAGGCCAAAAGCCCUUCAUAUAAAAGAGUGUUUCUAUUUGCCCUUGUACUUGCACUUGAAGUAAUGUUGCUAUUUGGAUUGCGACAUUUUAUUAUUCCUUGAUGCCAAUCUUCUUCGCCUUUGGAUAAUAUUAAAGGAUAUUGAAGGGGAUCAUAAUAUCUGUAUUAAUGCUUAUAUCUGUAUUAAUGCUUAACUCGAUGUGUGUUCUCUGAGUGUUCAUGAAUAGCAGUGUCUCUUUCAAAUGACACGUUUAGAUUGUUACCGUCUAUCCAAAUUGCUGCCACUUGAUCCACUAUUGGUUUGUUGUACACAUUGAUCCAAUGAAGCAUUUGCAGCUAUACAUAUUUCUAAAUUUUGUAAACUUGUAUGGUCUUUAAGGUGUGAAAAGAAUUGUGCAUAUGGAUUUCGGUCCAUUAUUUUUCUGAUUUUCCCCAUCACUUUCUCUGAUAAAGUUGUGUCUUAGAGUAUUGACGUUUUGUUUGCCAGUUUAUAAUCUGUACCAUAGAAGCAUAGCUGAAAGUGACGUGGCACUUUUGGGACCAAUGAUGGUAGAUGAUGAUAUACUUGUCCUUGUGUCUUAAAACUGUAAACUCCCUUCCUGGAAGAUGCUAGUUUUGGAUCGACCUUUAUUCUAAAUGACGUAAAAGCAAAAAAGGCUAUUCUAGGCUUUUACAUUUUUUCUGAAUAACUUGCCUUCUUCCGACUCAUCAAUAAAUAAUGCAUAUAAGUCAUCUAGAACUUCGUUGUCUGCUAACUUAAUAUAUCCACUUCCACAACAAAAUUUUGGUGUCUUAUAGUCAAACCUCUUGGCAUAACAGAAGAUGCAAUUAGGUUUCUUUUCCAGCUUAUGAAUAGAUGAUGUAGAUAUAUUUGUAAUAGUUUCUCCUAAAUUCCCAAUUGAAAGUAUAUUAUGUUUUAGUAGAGGAUAAUAUUUUAGUGAUACAACUUAAACGCUGCAAACUUAAUGUAUAAUGAAUUUUAGCAAAAUUACCUCUAUUAUCAUCCUCAUAUGAUAAAACAUUUUCUAUCCAAUUUCUUUUUCACUUCUUCUGUUGUGAUUGUUCAAUGUGUCCAUCUCCCAAUGGUUGAGUAGCGGCAAAGGUAACAAGGUCCUUUCUACAUCAGUCAUUCCUCUAUGUUUGUGUCCUAUCAAUUAUGUAAUGUGAUCAUGUUGGUAAUGUGUAAACAAUAAUUGAUUUGACGCUUCACUAUAAAAGAAACACUUUAUCUUUUGUUAAGCUUACCUAUUAUUUUAUGAUGUGAUUAUCUUGAAAUUCCAUGAUAAAUUUCCUGCGUUCAAUGAAACAGUAAGUUAUUUCAUAUGUGUAAUACCCUGAUCAUUCCUUAAGCCUAAAUUCGUCUUCUGAGUGAGUAUGGGUGACUUCCAAAGUGAUUUAUGUUUAAACUGUGUGGUAUUUCUCUAAUUUCUACUUUUUUUCAUGUGGAGAAUUGAAUAAGCUUUCCAUCGAUAUCAAAUUCACCCAAAUCUGACACUCGGGUGAAGAGUUAGAGCCAUUUUAGUGAGACAGUGUCCCAACUGACACUUCAGCGUGCCGCAGAGCCAGCCAAAAUGACAAUUGUCAUUUUUCAGUGAUCCUCCGUGAUUUCACCGCAUCACGCCAAGGCUCAAUUUCUGGAUUGUCAAUUUCCAGUGCACCAACGCGAUUCCUCCGCAUCGCGGUGCCCUUCCAGGUCACGACCAAGUGGCAAAAAUGACUUCACCAUGUCACGCCACUGAACCAUUUCCCAAUUGUCAAAAUACAUUGAAGAUCCACGAUUGUAGCGCGUCACGCUAGGACCAAAAAUCAGGCUCCAGUCUAGAAUUUUCUCAAGGGUAAUUUGGUCUUUUCUGCCCAUUUUGCUCUCUCUCUCUCUAUAUUCUAGUAGAGGAGAGAAAACCCAUUUUUCUCUCCAUUCCAAAAAUUAAAAUAAAAUCUAGGGUUUCUUUCUCUCUUCCAAUUCCAAAUCUUCUUCAAGAAAUUCAAGAAAUCUUCCAUAUAUUUCACCGAGUUGUUUAAGAAUCGAUUUCUCCGAGUCAAAAACAUCAAGAAAUUUAGCUUAAAGGUGUAAGAAGAAGUUUAUAUCAAGUUUGUUCCUCUCCAAAAUCCUAAUUAAGGUAUGUGGGGUUUGAACAAGAACACUCCUUUCAUUCUUGUGCCUAAAGAUUUAGUUUCUAUUAUUGAUUUACAUGAAUUUGCAAAGUGGGAUUGCACCCAAAUUUCUCUAUUAGUGACUUAUGAGAUUUGAGUUGAUUAUGUUUGAAAUUAUGAUAUAUUAACCAUCAUAUUUCUUAAAACGAGGAUUUAUGCCAUGAGUUGAAUAUUCUUAUUAUGAAUUGAUGAUUUUCGAAUAAUUUGAGAUAAGUGUCAUGAUUUAAGCCUUCCAUGAGAAGUUGAUUGUUGAAUACAUAUGGAUAUUGAACUUGAGAGUCAAGAAUAAGUCCUAUGAUGUUUCCUCCAAGCUUUUGAUAUUUGAAAUGAUUUGAUAAGCAAAUGUCCUUGAUGUUGAGAAAGAUUGNNNNNNNNNNNNNNNNNNNNNNNNNNNNNNNNNNNNNNNNNNNNNUAUAUAUAUAUAUAUAUAUAUAUAUAUAUUUAUAUUUUGGUCUUUAUAAUAUACCCAUGAGUUGAUAUUGAUUAAGGUGAAUUUCCUAACGCGUUCUGAGCUGAGUCUGGGAGGAGUAUUUAGCGCCGAGAGGGAAAUAUGGUAUUUCUCUGAAACUACGUGCCACCGUAGGAUUGAUGUUGAUAAUUGUGGGCCAAAGGCCGAGUAUGGGAUUGUGACUGUGAAAUUGAGGUUGUACUCCCUGGCAAGAGUACGAAGCUCUCGCCAAUGUGGGGUUCUCUUCUUAGGAGGGCAAAACGUUGGACUACAUGCGACUCACAUGGUGUAGUUUAUGUCAGUUAUAAGAAACUCCCAAGUUCAUAACUGUUUAAGUUCUUGAGUUAUCGAGUCACUCCAAUUCAUGAGUUGAAGAGUUUGAGUUGAGUCAAAUGAUUUACGAGAUUUACGAAGCAUGUGUUUUAUAGAUGAUUUAUGGAAGUAAUGUUUCAGGUAAUUCAAGCGAAGAGAGUUAUUACUGUUAGCAUGCAUGAUUUCCUUACACAUUUAUGACAUUUUUAAAAUGUUGCAUGCACCCCCACAUACUCAGUACAUUCCCAAGUACUGACUCCCAUACGCUUUUUUGCAUUAUAUUUUCUCGUGAUAUAGGUUCAGGUGCUCAGUUUUAGUAGCGACGGUGAUUUUCGAGUACCUUCACUACAUCUCUGCAGUUGGUGAGUCCUCCUGGUUCGAGGACUUUGUCUAUAUUUUGUGAUGUGGUUUUGUUGUUGUGGCUUUCAGUACUGUUGAGUCAGUUAGGGUUUGUUCGAAUGGCUCCUUGAUUUUGAUGUAUAGAGGCUUUGUCAGACUAGAGAGAGGGUAUGUACAGACAUUCAAUAUGUGUUUUGGUUUUACAGUUUAGUAUUUUCAGUAUCUCUCUUGAACCCGAUGUGGUAUGUCUUUUUCUUAUGCACGAUUAUUGUUGAAUUGAGUUCCUUGAGGUGGUGUUAGGUUCCAAGGGUUAGCUUGGGGCUACGUGUAGCCCUAAGCAUCGUGUGACGUCUCGGGAUAGGUUCUCGGGGCGUUACAAGCUUGGUAUCAGAGAGCCUAAGGUUUGGAGAGUCCUAGGGAGUCUGACAAGCCGCGUUACGUAGAGUCUUGAUCAUCGGUAUGUAGCGCGCCACAUCUAUGAGCAAGAGGCUACGAAAUAUUUUAGGAAAAGUUGUUUCCUUCUUUCAAAAGUCUAUCGGGCCUAUGACUAUUUCUUUCUGCUGUUAAUUUACGCUCUCUUGUGACAGAAAAUGCCUCCUCGUAGAUCUUGCAAAAAUAAUGAACGACCUUAACCAGUUGAUCCUUUGGGUGAGACGGUGUCCCAUGCUGAAUUCCAAACAACUUUUCAAGCACUAGCCCAGGCGGUCACCACCAAUGCUCAGACCCGUGCACAGGUCAUAGUUCUACCUCCGCAAGAGGAUAAUUCAGCAACAGCUCGGGUUCGUGACUUUAUGCGGUGAAUCCGUCAGAGUUUUAUGGGUCAAAUACAGGUGAGGACCCACAGAUGUAUCUUUAUGAGGUGAAAAAGAUCAUCCAAAUUAUGCAUGUCACGGAGGAAGAGGGUGUAGAUCUAGCUUCUUAUCGCUUGAAAGAUGUCGCUUAUGAUUGGGUGGAGAUGUGGAGGAAAAGCAGAGGGGAGAAUGAUGGUCCUUUGACUUGGCAAUUAUUCCAAGAUGCCUUCUUAGACAGAUUCUUUCCCCCGGAGCUGAGGGAAACAAAAUUAAAAGAAUUUAUGAACCUAAGACAGGGCCCUAUGAUUGUUAAAGAGUAUUGUCAUAAGUUCAACCAGUUAUCUAAGUAUGCUCCCGGUAUGAUGGCUAAUUCUAGAACUAGUAUGAGUAAGUUUUUGGUUGGUGUAUCUGAUUAUAUUGUGAAAGGGUGUAGAUCCGCUAUACUUAAUAGGGACAUAGGCCUUUCAAGACUAAUGAUUCAUGCUUAGCAGAUUGAAGCGGAUAAGGUGAAGGAGAGAGAAAGAGUAAGGGCAAAUAAGAGGUUUAGAUCUGACCAGCAGGGGUAUAGUCAGACUAGAUCUUCUGGAGGGAUUCACCCUCAGUUUCAGAGCCGUUCUUUUAUGCCACCACCUUUAUCAGCCAAUGCUCCCGCAUUCAGAAUCAGGUAGGAGUAGAGUAAUAGACAUACUAUGUCCAGGCCUAGGACAGUGUGAGUAACAGACCUCGUCCUCCCCCAUGCCCGAAGUGAGGUAGGGACCAUCCCGGUGAGUGCUUUGUCGAUCGGAGAGGUUGUUUUGGUUGCGGUAAGUUAGGCUACUAAUUCAGGGAUUUCCCUAUGCUAGACAGGGGAGUCGCGAUGUUCGUCCCCAUAGUCAGGCCAUUAGUACUCCAGCCCCUUUUGUUCGUCCUACUCCUCCUCAAGGUGCCUCGUCUAGUACUGUAGGUGGUCAACGUCAAAAUCUCUUUUACACUAUACCACCCCGCCAGGAGUAGGAGAAUUCACCAGAUGUUGUUACUGGUAUGCUCUGUGUAUUUCAUUUCGAUGUGUAUGUAUUGAUGGACCCUGGGUCAAGUCUUUCUUAUGUGACGCCGUUGGUGGCUGUGAAUUUUGAAAUCAGUGCUGAAAAGAUUCUUGAGACUUUUCUAGUUUCUACCCCAGUAGGUGAGUCUGUUGUCGCUAAGAAAGUGUAUAAGAAGUGUCCUAUCACUGUCCUUAAUAGAGUCAUGUUUGCAGACUUGAUUGAGCUGAACAUGGUCGAUUUUGACGUUAUUCUGGGUAUGGAUUGGCUUCAUUCUUGUUAUGCGUCUAUUGACUGUCGUACUCGUGUAUUCAAGUUCCAGUUUCGCAGUGAGCCAGUUUUUGAGUGGUCCGGAAAUUCCGCAUCCCCCAGGAGUCACUUUAUAUCUUAUCUUAAAGCCAAGAAAUUGAUAUCCAGGGGUUGUAUCUAUCAUUUGGUUCGAGUUAAAGACACUAAGUCCGAGACUCCGACUAUUCUGUCUAUUAGUGUUGUCAAUGAGUUUCUUGAUGUUUUUCCGGAAGAUCUCCCGGGGUACCUCCUGUUUCUUGAUGUUGAUGGCAUUUCCCAAUGUAUUGAAGAUUCCAUAUGGGUUGUUGAAUCCUAUGUUGCUUGAACUCUUAAAAAAUAUCAACAGAUGCAUUUCGGAUUGUUCAAAAUAGCAUAUUUAUUUGAAAAGUUGUCACGUGUGCAACAUCAAAAGCGAAGAGUAUGCAAAACUUAGGUUGAAGGAAAAUUGAACUGUAAUGAGGCAUGUUACAAGAAUGGAAUUGAUAAUAAUCAAAUUUCCAAACAAUGUAAUAAACAGUAUAGAAGAGAUCUAACAUCGGCAAGAUUCUGGAUAAGAAAAAGUACGCUCUUACUAAAACAUGUUCAACAAAAGUACGAAUACAAAUGAGACAUACAGUAGGCAUACUUCUGAACCAAAAAGGUAGUAGUGUACUAAUGGGGUGUAGCAGCUGUUUGUUGCCGGAAAAGUUGAAUUUUUUGAAGACUUAUUUGGUUAUGUGUAAAGUGCAAUAAAAAUUCGAGGCUACGCUCCUGGGGCAAACAAGAAAGUGAUUCCUCAAGUUUAUGAAGAAUGUAAAUUGUUCAACAUUGCGAAAACUUGGGUUACAACCUCAUGUUACAAACAAUUAGCAAUUACAACUGCAGUUGAGUGACUUAUAAUCAUUUAAGACCUUUUUAACGCAGAUCUGUAAUAACCGUUUAUCUUUAAUACCUUGUUUAGCAUAGAAAUUGGUGUUCUCUUCUUUUACGGUUUAAAGAAUGAAAUAUUUAUUUGAACAAACAAAAGUAAAUGAAAUCAGUGUAUCUAAAACAUCAAAGAUAGCAACAUUCUUAUUAAUUUCAAACUGUUAGAACACAAUAUUGCAAGGUCGAUGCCCAACACUUUUUUCUUCUCUCGAAAGAGGAUAUAAUACUAUAGUGAGUAGAAUUUCUCUCAUGAACCCAAAACCCAAUAGUAAUUAGAUACUCUUGAUAGUUGUCGAUAUAACUCUAAUUAUCAAGUACACUAUAGAGAAUAACAGAGAAAACAAAAUGACUUGAAUAAAGAGGGUAAGAAAGAGAUUCUGCAGAUGAAGAAUUAGGAAGGAUGAUUGACUGAAUAGGCAAAGAUUAUAAUAUUAUGUAAACGCAAGAGUCCGAGCAAUGCAGUAAAUAACAUCUUUCAGCACCAGUGAGCUAUCUUUUUUUCUUACAUUCCUUUUAAUAAGAACCAUCGACAUCUCCCUAAUAUUUUCCAGCUUCAACACCUACAGUGCUCCCAAACGUUUUGAUUCUUUUAUCCCGUCGNNNNNNNNNNNNNNNNNNNNNNNNNNNNNNNNNNNNNNNNNNNNNNNNNNNNNNNNNNNNNNNNNNNNNNNNNNNNNNNNNNNNNNNNNNNNNNNNNNNNNNNNNNNNNNNNNNNNNNNNNNNNNNNNNNNNNNNNNNNNNNNNNNNNNNNNNNNNNNNNNNNNNNNNNNNNNNNNNNNNNNNNNNNNNNNNNNNNNNNNNNNNNNNNNNNNNNNNNNNNNNNNNNNNNNNNNNNNNNNNNNNNNNNNNNNNNNNNNNNNNNNNNNNNNNNNNNNNNNNNNNNNNNNNNNNNNNNNNNNNNNNNNNNNNNNNNNNGUGUAGUAAAGUAUAAUACUGAUAAACAACUUGCUUAAAAAUAUAAGGAUUUUUCUAAAAUUUGUCAUGUUUCAGUUGUUGUUUAAUGAUAUAGGAAAUAGAUUUGUCGUCAAGUUUUGGUUGGAUCGUUCAUCCUCUACUUCACCAACCAUAUUUUCUUUAAAUAAUGAGACAAUUGUAAUGCAUGAUGAAAUUGUUUUCCCACCAUAUUAAUUCUAAGAAUUAUUAACCCAAAGUCCACUGUUUUACAUCGACAGAAACAAACCUAAAAAUGAAUUUACUUGGUUCAGACUAACCAUGUUAGCCACUUAAGGAAUAAAUUUUAUAAAGAUCAUAAGGAAAAAAGCAGCAGAGAAGCAUAUAACAUUAAGAAACAUAAAAGAUUCAUACCCAGUUCAACUAUUUAAAAAAAAAAAUUUUGAUGAUUUCAGAAUUUGUAUCACAAUUGAAUUUUGAAAUACACAGGAACAUUUAUAUAUUAAAUAAGGAACACAUACACGUAUGAACUUUAAAAUUUGGAUAAUUCAGGGGAACUUACAAUUCAAAUUCAGGGGAGAAAGAACUGGACUCGCUUUAACUGUCAAAGUGGAUAGAAGGAAUACCUUUCCAUUUUGACAGAGAAAUAUAUCACAAAGCACUUUGAUAGCCGACCAGAGUAACAACUUUGAUAUUGUAGAACCAAUAAUUGCAAAAUGUGUGACGCGGAAAACCUUUAACAAAAGCCAAAGUUUGUAUAUAAUUUAAUUGUUAAUUUUUCUAGAGAGAAUGAAAUUUG